GAUGAACGCUAGCGGCAGGCUUAACACAUGCAAGUCGUGGGGCAGCGCGGACUUCGGUCUGGCGGCGACCGGCAAACGGGUGCGGAACACGUACGCAACCUUCCUCAGAGCGGGGAAUAGCCUCUCGAAAGAGAGAUUAAUACCCCAUAGUAUCUUCUAGUCACAUGACUUAAAGAUUAAAGCUCCGGCACUUUGAGAUGGGCGUGCGGCUGAUUAGGUAGUUGGUAGGUAACGGCCUACCAAGCCAACGAUCAGUAGCUGAUGUGAGAGCAUGAUCAGCCACACGGGCACUGAGACACGGGCCCGAUCCUACGGGAGGCAGCAGUGAGGAAUAUUGGUCAAUGGGGGCGAACUCUGAACCAGCCAUGCCGCGUGAAGGAUGAAGGUCCUCUGGAUUGUAAACUUCUUUUUAUAAAGUAAGAAACCCCAGUAUUCUUACUGGGUUGACGGUACUUUAUGAAUAAGCACCGGCUAACUCCGUGCCAGCAGCCGACGG
rnacentral:rRNA from 1 species